GAUGUGCUCUUAGGCAGACAAGAAAUUGUUUACUACAAUUAAUAAUAACUUUGAAAUUAAUUAUAUAUAUUCCACUUACAAAAUGAUUCAAUGAAGCUAAUAAUAAUACUAUUCUAUAUUUUAUAAGACUAUAUAUGUUACUUCAUAUUAAUCAGAAUCACAACUACCCAGUGCAGUAAAGCAUCAGGUGUAUCUGUUGCCAUUUUUAUAGAUGAUGAAACCAAUGUGCAGAGAGGUUAUGCAGUUUGCCCAAGGACACACAGCUGGAAACAACAUUCUGGAUUAAUUUCAAGUGAAAAUACCCUGGAGGCACACUGAAUUUUCAGAUGUGGACAGCUGAUCAUCUGAGGAAGCUGCUGCAUUUCCAGUUCUCUUUUGGUUGGGAGAAAGGCGAUUCUUCAUGCUCCUCUGUUCUUUUGAUUUCCUAUUGGCAUCUCCGUUUCCCUCUAUACCUUUCAACAUUCAAGCCAGAUGCCAAUUGUCUGUGUGAAAACACACUGCAUCUCAAAUAUACCAAGAUGCCAUAAUAUUUGACCAUAUGUGAAUAUUCCAGUAAACUCCUGGGACUUAUAUUCCAGUGUCGGUGCUGAACAACAGGAAGACUGUAAAUACCAUCAGCUAACCAAAAGACUCACAUAUGCCUCAUGUUUAUAAAUGCCCGAUAGAUGUAGUGCGUUCUAAAUUUGAAUUUUUGGUGCAAGAGAGGGGAUGGGUGCUCUCUCCAUGGAGGCAGUGCAGCUUGCAAACAUACAAAUGAAUGGGACCUCCUCAGGUUGCUGCUGAUCAUGGCAAUUAAUUAUUGUGGAGAGACUUGCAAACAAGAAACAUCUCGAGAUGAACUCUGAAAGAAAAGAAGAAAAGAAUGUGUCCAUGGUAGCCAACAGCUAUAUUAAAUAAAAUAAAGUUUGAACUAACUAUAUUAACUGGGCCAGAAAAAUUCCCCUGAAGCUGGACAGGGUGGGAUUAAAUUCUGAAACCUUAAGCAAAACACUUCAAAGGACAUAGGAUGAAUUUUGAGCAAUAUCUUUAUCUUUGCCACCCCCCACAGUCCCCAGCCUCCUGCGAUGCUGGCCUCGUCGUUGAAAAACACAAAAGCAAACCACUUCAGGAGGAUUUACUAGAUGCCAAGCUUUGUUUUGGACCUGGUGAGAGUUAAGAAGAUGAAAUAAACAAGCCCUUUGUUCUCGAGUUGCCCAGUAAUUUAGUAUGAGAAUCUUUAUUGUCAUAAAAGUGCCUAACAAUGCUAGGCAGGAAGGCAGGAAGCAGGAACUGAAGGCAACGUGUCCUUGGAAUGGCCCAGAGAAGAGACUGAGACUCUUAGCUUGACUCUGAGCUGACUUAAAGGGUCUGGUAUAAUGGCAGUUCUUUUACUGAACUGCGUUCUCUUCUAGUAAGUAUAAAAAAGUUCUAUUGGCAAUAAUAAUAGCAAAAAGUAUCAGGUUCUUACUGUGCUAAGCACUUUAAUUCUGUUAUUGGACUUUCAAAACAACUUACGGAGGAUGAUACCAUUACUUUUCCUGUAUUACAGCAGAGGGAACUGAGGUUUAGAGAGAGAAAAUAAUUUGCCAAAGUCAUAUAAUUGUUGUUUUAUAUAAUUGUUCAUCCCAUGGAGAAUGGCAUUUUCAUUUCUACAGAGAUCAGAAUGUGUUAAUUGUUAUCUAUUUCUUGUCUCAAAUGUGUUACUCCUCAUCUCUGCCAAAGCAAGCUCUAUUUAUCCUGCAAGAACUGUGGAACUUCCUCUACUUCCAUCGUAAACUCUUCCUGGGACCCAGUGACCUCUCUUCCCACAGCAUACUUGGAGAAUUUAUGCCUGCCUCAUGUAUUUGGCAAUUGAUCAUAAAUGGUCCUAUGCUAAUUCUCAUUUGUCAUAUGAUAUUGUUUAAUUUUGUUUCAUCUUUCCAUCCAGAUUGUAAACUCCUUCUUGCUUCUAGCUUUGUCUAAAGGAUUAAAAGUGAGUCUUUUAUACUAUUCACCACAGUGCA